GUGGUAGGAGAGCGUUCUAUAGGCGUUGAAGAUGUACCGGUAAGGAGCGUUGGAGCGUAUAGAAGUGAGCAUGCAGGCAUGAGUAGCGAUAAUUAAUGGGAGAAUCAUUAACGCCGUAAACCCAAGGUUUCCUACGCGAUGCUCGUCAUCGUAGGGUUAGUCGGGUCCUAAGCAAAGUCCGAAAGGGGUAUGCGAUGGAAAAUUGGUUAAUAUUCCAAUACCAACA
rnacentral:rRNA from 1 species